CAAUCUGCCUUGGAGUGGGGAAUAACGGUUGGAAACAGCCGCUAAUACCGCAUGAUGCGUCUGGGAGGCAUCUCUCUGGGCGCCAAAGAUUUAUCGCUCUGAGAUGAGCUCGCAUCUGAUUAGCUUGUUGGCGGGGUAAAGGCCCACCAAGGCGACGAUCAGUAGCCGGACUGAGAGGUUGGCCGGCCACAUUGGGACUGAGACACGGCCCAGACUCCUACGGGAGGCAGCAG
rnacentral:rRNA from 1 species